rnacentral:rRNA from 1 species
GACGAACGCUGGCGGCGUGCUUAACACAUGCAAGUCGAACGAAGUGGCGAACGGGUGAGUAACGCGUAAUCAACCUGCCCUUCAGAGGGGGACAACAGUUGGAAACGACUGCUAAUACCGCAUACUGAAGGAGGGGAUUGCGUCUGAUUUGCUAGUGGGAGGGGUAACGGCCCACCAAGGCGAUGAUCAGUAGGCGGUCUGAGAGGGGGAACGGGCACAUGGGGACUGAGACACGGCCCAGACUCCUACGGGAGGCAGGAGGGGGGAAUCUUCCGCAAUGGACGAAAGUCUGAAGGGGCAACGCCGCGGGAGUGAUGACGGCGUUCGGGUUGUAAAGCUCUGUUAAUCGGGACGCGGUACCGGAAUAGAAAGCCACGGCUAACUACGUGCCAGCAGCCGCGGUAAUUC